ACGGGGCGCAGCAGGCGCGAAACCUUUACACUGCACGCCAGUGCGAUAAGGGGACCCCGAGUGAAAGGGCAUAUCGCCCUUUCUUUUCUGAACCGUAGGGAGGUUCAGGAACAAGAGCUGGGCAAGACCGGUGCCAGCCGCCGCGGUAAUACCGGCAGCUCGAGUGAUGACCGAUUUUAUUGGGCCUAAAGCGUCCGUAGCUGGCCGCGCAAGUCUGUCGGGAAAUCCACCCGCUUAACGGGUGGGCGUCCGGCGGAAACUGUGCGGCUUGGGACAGGAAGGCUCGAGGGGUACGUUCGGGGUAGGAGUGAAAUCCUGUAAUCCUGAACGGACCACCGAUGGCGAAAGCACCUCGAGAGGACUGAUCCGACAGUGAGGGACGAAAAGCUGGGGUCUCGAACCGGAUUAGAUACCCCCGUAGUCC
rnacentral:rRNA from 1 species